GAUGAACGCUGGCGGCGUGCUUAACACAUGCAAGUCGAACGGGAUCCGGGCAGCUUGCUGCCUGGUGAGAGUGGCGAACGGGUGAGUAAUGCGUGACCAACCUGCCCCAUGCUUCGGAAUAGCUCCUGGAAACGGGUGGUAAUGCCGGAUGCUCCGCAUCAUCGCAUGAUGGUGCGGGAAAGGGUUUACCGGCAUGGGAUGGGGUCGCGUCCUAUCAGCUUGUUGGCGGGGUGAUGGCCUGCCAAGGCUUCGACGGGUAGCCGGCCUGAGAGGGCGACCGGCCACAUUGGGACUGAGAUACGGCCCAGACUCCUACGGGAGGCAGCAGUGGGGAAUAUUGCACAAUGGGCGAAAGCCUGAUGCAGCGACGCCGCGUGCGGGAUGACGGCCUUCGGGUUGUAAACCGCUUUUGAUUGGGAGCAAGCGAGAGUAAGUGUACCUUUCGAAUAAGCACCGGCUAACUACGUGCCAGCAGCCGCGGUAAUACGUAGGGUGCAAGCGUUAUCCGGAUUUAUUGGGCGUAAAGAGCUCGUAGGCGGUUCGUCGCGCCUGGUGUGAAAGUCCAUCGCUUAACGGUGGAUCGGCGCCGGGUACGGGCGGACUGGAGUGCGGUAGGGGAGACUGGAAUUCCCGGUGUAACGGUGGAAUGUGUAGAUAUCGGGAAGAACACCGAUGGCGAAGGCAGGUCUCUGGGCCGUCACUGACUCUGAGGA
rnacentral:rRNA from 1 species